ACGGCUCAGGAGUACGGAGGCCUACGUGCUCCUGAGAGCAUAGCAGCCCUGCUAUAUAUAUAUAUAUAUAUAUAUAGUUGAGCUAGAAUACUUUCAAAAGCACCAAAGAGAUUGUGCUUUUGAGUUUUUAGCCUCUGGAUGGAGAAAUGUAGGGUUGAGAUGAUGGUUGUAGGUGGUGGUAGGUGGUGGUAGGUAGAAUAGUGUUUGAUCCAAGGGGUAUUAAUAAUUAAGGAGUAGAUCCAAAAUCUAGAAAUUUAGAAGCACCAAGGGGUUGGUGCUUCUAAAAGUAUUCUAGCUCAA
rnacentral:lncRNA from 1 species